rnacentral:rRNA from 1 species
GGAGGCAACUCUGACCCAGCCAUGCCGCGUGCAGGAAGACUGCCCUAUGGGUUGUAAACUGCUUUUAUACAGGAAGAAACCCUCCCACGUGUGGGAGGCUGACGGUACUCUACGAAUAAGGACCGGCUAACUCCGUGCCAGCAGCCGCGGUAAUACGGAGGGUCCAAGCGUUAUCCGGAAUCAUUGGGUUUAAAGGGUCCGUAGGCGGGCAAUUAAGUCAGAGGUGAAAUCCCGCAGCUCAACUGUGGAACUGCCUUUGAUACUGGUUGUCUUGAGUUAUAUUGAAGUGAGUAGAAUAUGUAGUGUAGCGGUGAAAUGCUUAGAUAUUACAUAGAAUACCGAUUGCGAAGGCAGA